CAGGCGAUUGCAUUGGCUGUGGUGUCGCCCGCUCGAUCGACUGAACUGUUAUGGCUGGAGUGAACGUGACUGACGCGAUCAGCUUGAAGGUCCGAGAUCCUGUGUGACACACUUCCCUGAAAGUGUCUACAGUUGGCUGACUGUCCUCGGAGGCCAAGAAGUGCAGAGCUAGCAGUCAGGCCUCUGCAGCAGAAGUAUGGACCUGGGAAAGAGCAGGAACUGCCCCCUCCUCCCCCACCGCCCCAUGAAUCGUCCAGCACACGAACCCAUUCCAGACAUCAGCUGUCUUCCUCCACUUCACCACAGCACAGGAUCACCCUGCCCCAGGAAUGUAGCACUCAAAAUGAAGGUGAAUCCUCAUGUAUCAAUUAAUGUGAUCAAGAAGCGCAUCCUUUCCUAAUGCUGCCGAUGAGGCGCGGUGUGCUGGCAAGCACGGCACAGGAAGAUGUACCUGGCACCCGAGGAGGUCAGAAGACAGCAUCAGACACCCUGGAACUGGAGUUACAGCUGGUUUUAAGUCACCAUCUAGGUGUUGGUAACUGAGCCCAGGUCCUCUGGAAGAGCAUCAAGUAUAUGGUCUUAGCUACUGAGCCAUCUUUCCAUGCCCACAUAUUGUAUCUUUAAAAUCAAAUGCAGAUAAAAAUCAAGACCAA